rnacentral:rRNA from 1 species
GAUGAACGCUGGCGGCGUGCCUAAUACAUGCAAGUCGAGCGAACGGACGAGAAGCUUGCUUCUCUGAUGUUAGCGGCGGACGGGUGAGUAACACGUGGAUAACCUACCUAGAAGACUGGGAUAAAUUCGGGAAACCGGAGCUAAUACCGGAUAAUAUUUUGAACCGCAUGGUUCAAGAGUGAAAGACGGUCUUGCUGUCACUUAUAGAUGGAUCCGCGCUGCAUUAGCUAGUUGGUAAGGUAACGGCUUACCAAGGCAACGAUGCCUAGCCGAUCUGAGAGGGUGACCGGCCACACUGGAACUGAGACACGGUCCAGACUCCUACGGGAGGCAGCAGUGGGGAAUCUUGCGCAAUGGGCGCAAGCCUGACGGAGCCACGCCGCGUGAGUGAUGAAGGUCUUCGGAUCGUAAAGCACUGUUAUCAGGGAAGAACAUAUGUGUAAUUAUCCGUGCACAUAUUGACGGUACCUACUCAGAAAGCACCGGCUAACUACGUG